AUGCUGAAAGGGGAAAAUGAGGAUUUGAUGCAAAGUGAAGGAGGAAAACUCUGGGAGCAAAUGUCAGAGACUACAAAGGCAAACACCUCCAGGAGCCAGAUUCAGGUGCAAAUCAUUAGCUUUUCUAACCAACAUGCUGGUGAAACUACAUCCAAACCCACAAAUGUAAAAAAUGUGGACACAGAAGCAGGACUCAUCAGUGUAAGAGUUCUGGCAUUCUCAAGACUGUACAGAAACUCCUAG
rnacentral:lncRNA from 1 species